AACGAACGCUGGCGGCAUGCCUAACACAUGCAAGUCGAACGAGACCUUCGGGUCUAGUGGCGCACGGGUGCGUAACGCGUGGGAACCUGCCCUUAGGUUCGGAAUAACUCCCCGAAAGGGGUGCUAAUACCGGAUCAUGUCUUCGGCCCAAAGAUUUAUCGCCUUUGGCUGGGCCCGCGUUGGAUUAGCUAGUUGGUAGGGUAAAAGCCUACCAAGGCGACGAUCCAUAGCUGGUCUGAGAGGAUGAGCAGCCACACUGGGACUGAGGCACGGCCCAGACUCCUACGGGAGGCAGCAGUGGGGAAUAUUGGACAAUGGGCGAAAGCCUGAUCCAGCAAUGCCGCGUGAGUGAUGAAGUCCUUAGGGUUGUAAAGCUCUUUUACCCGGGAUGAUAAUGACAGUACCGGGAGAAUAAGCUCCGGCUAACUCCGUG
rnacentral:rRNA from 1 species